UUUUGCAUGGCGAAUUGUAGUCUAUAGAGGCGUGAUCAGUGUGAGCACUUGGGGCAAGUUCCUUGGAAGAGGACAGCAUGGAGGGUGAUACUCCCGUUCAUCCCAAAGUUGCUUAUGCGUACGACCCGUUUUCUUUGAGUCGCGUUGUUUGAGAAUGCAGCGCAAAGUAGGUGGUAAAUUCCAUCUAAAGCUAAAUAUUGGUGCGAGACCGAUAGCAAACAAGUACCGUGAGGGAAAGAUGAAAAGAACUUUGAAAAUAGAGUUAAAGAGUACCUGAAACUGCUGAAAGGUAACCAAAUCGUUUCCAGUGUCUAUAAUCCGUGGUAUAUUUCAUCGGCGAGCGUGUUCGUGUGUGUGCUGUUGCAGUUUCCUUUUGGUUACGCUCGGCGUGUAUGCUGUUUAUGCUUGUUGGUGCCCUGUGCUGCGGUGGGACGUCAAGGUCAAUUCGUAUGCUGCGAGAAAUGACUAUCGAGGAGGUAGGGCUUACGCUUGCGUUUGUCUGUUAUAUCUUGGUAGACGAGUCGUCGCGGUUGGGAUUGAGGUGCCUACAACGUGCUUUUGAGUGGGCAUGGGUCUCUGUGUGCGCCGUAUGCGGAUAGCUUGCUAUGUGUGUGUGGUUGUAUGUGGAUUGAUGCGAGCCGUAACUUGUAGCCGUUCGGGACGUUGACGAAAUGGAGCGAUUUGACCCGUCUUGAAACACGGACCAAGGAGUCUAACAUAUGUGCAAGUGUUAGGGUGUGGAAACCCCAGCGCGUAAUGAAAGUAAAGGACAGCGUAAGUUGUCCGAGGUAGGAAAUGCUGUGGGCUUCGGCUUGCGGUGUGGCACUAUCGACCGAUCAUGAACCUUUGUGGUGAAAGAUUUGAGUUUGAGCACAUAUGUUGGUACCCGAAAGAUGGUGAACUAUGCCUGA
rnacentral:rRNA from 1 species